rnacentral:rRNA from 1 species
UUAGUGGCAGACGGGUGAGUAAUGCAUAGGAAUCUACCUAGUAGUAUGGGAUAGCCACUAGAAAUGGUGGGUAAUACUGUAUAAUCCCUGCGGGGGAAAGAUUUAUCGCUAUUAGAUGAGCCUAUGUUAGAUUAGCUAGUUGGUAGGGUAAAGGCCUACCAAGGCGGUGAUCUAUAGCUGGUCUGAGAGGAUGAUCAGCCACACUGGAACUGAGAUACGGUCCAGACUCCUACGGGAGGCAGCAGUGGGGAAUAUUGGACAAUGGGCGCAAGCCUGAUCCAGCUAUGCCGCGUGAGUGAAGAAGGCCUUCGGGUUGUAAAACUC